GAUGAACGCUGGCGGCGUGCCUAACACAUGCAAGUCGAACGGAAAGGCUCCUGCUUGCAGGGGUACUCGAGUGGCGAACGGGUGAGUAACACGUGGGUGAUCUGCCCUGCACUUCGGGAUAAGCCUGGGAAACUGGGUCUAAUACCGGAUAGGACGAUGGUUUGGAUGCCAUUGUGGAAAGUUUUUCGGUGUGGGAUGAGCUCGCGGCCUAUCAGCUUGUUGGUGGGGUAAUGGCCUACCAAGGCGUCGACGGGUAGCCGGCCUGAGAGGGUGUACGGCCACAUUGGGACUGAGAUACGGCCCAGACUCCUACGGGAGGCAGCAGUGGGGAAUAUUGCACAAUGGGCGCAAGCCUGAUGCAGCGACGCCGCGUGGGGGAUGACGGCCUUCGGGUUGUAAACUCCUUUCGCUAGGGACGAAGCGCAAGUGACGGUACCUGGAGAAGAAGCACCGGCUAACUACGUG
rnacentral:rRNA from 1 species